AUACGGAGGGUGCAAGCGUUACUCGGAAUCACUGGGCGUAAAGCGCGCGCAGGCGGGCUGAUAAGUUGGAUGUGAAAGCCUACGGCUCAACCGUAGAACUGCAUCCAAAACUGUCAGUCUAGAGUCUGGGAGGGGAAGAUGGAAUUAGUUGUGUAGGGGUAAAAUCCGUAGAGAUAACUAGGAAUACCAAAAGCGAAGGCGGUCUUCUGGAACAGUACUGACGCUGAGGCGCGAAAGCGUGGGGAGCAAACAGGAUUAGAAACCCUAGUAGUCC
rnacentral:rRNA from 1 species